rnacentral:misc_RNA from 1 species
AGCAACCCAUCUUGCCGGCCUCCUGCAUCCGAUCCCGUAUGCGUGUACCGCUCCGAUGAAGGCCGGCAGCACGUCCGCAGUAUGUUCAUCAACGCCGCCAUCAUCAUCUCUCAUCUCACCUUGACAUCCCCGGCGCAACGCCAAUCUCAAAAUCAAUUUUUUCACUCUUUGACAGCGAAGACGAUCGGGCGGCGACGGGGAGGAUCGGAUCUGGAACCGGGAGGGGGAGG